GAGGCGCGCGCGCGGGAACUGCAGCAGCCGCCGGGCGCGGGCGCGCCCCGUCCGUGGGUCCGGGUCCUGCCUGUGGGUCCGUCUGUGUCCGCGUGCCCCCCCCCCCCCCCGCGGCUCCCGUCACCCGCGCGGGCAGGGAUGUCCCCGGGCUCGGCGUCAUCGGCCGCCCCGCGGCUGCUGUACCGCAGCACCCGCCUGCUCCACGCGGCCUUCCUGCGGCUGCACCAGCAGCAGCAGCGCGAGGACGUCUUCUGCGACGUGGUGCUGCGGGCAGAAGGGGAGGCGGUGGCAGCCCACUGCUGCGUCCUGUCGGUGUGCAGCCCCUUCUUCAUGGAGCAGCUGGCCCGGGAGCU